GGGGGUGUAGCUCAGAUGGGAGAGCACCUGCCUUGCACGCAGGGGGUCAGGAGUUCGAGCCUCCUCAUCUCCACCA
rnacentral:tRNA from 2 species